CCGCGACAGCAGGACGUCCUUUCGGCAUAGAGGAAUUGCGUUAAUAGAGAGUGCACCUGGGAGACAGCGAUCGAAUCCCAGUGUCGAUGUCCUACAGACAGAAUUUUUAGCCAGAACAAAUUCAAGUGCAGCUCUCAGAUCAGUCGAACCCAAGAGACAGGCACAAGGGUAGGCCUACCUCAAUUGCUCUUCCCCUUGCAUUAGCCUUUCCUGCUCAGGCUCCAUCGACCUGUCAGAGACAUCACUGUGAUUGACUGCCCUGGCAGAUGUGCUGCUAUAACAGAUACAGUACAGAGAUGAAUCACCGAUGCCUGCUGUUCUUCACAUUUAAAAAAAGGCCGUGAAACGACUGACUCCUGUGAAAGUGUAUAUGAUUCUUUCUUCCGUUACUGUCUAAGUAACCUGUUGUGUUGUGGGGUGUGUUUUUUUCACACCGGAGUGAAUUAGUGAUGGCAAGCACUCCAUCUGCUGGUGCAGAGUGCACACAGCAGACAGCCAGGGUUAGAGCCCCAGGACAAGUCUGUAUCCCAGCCUCAGCCACAAGAUUCCAUCUCCCUGCUUCACGGCUUCUGGGGCUGUUCACCCCUCCCAGCAGAAACCAGUUCGAGAUUGACGUCUCCUUUUUUGUUCUUGUUCACUUAUUAAUGUGUGCCUGCAUCUCCCACAUGUGAACAGCAGUUUGCAAAAGCCAGGAGCUCAUGUCACGCUUGCAGGCUAGUGCAGGGGAAGCCUUUAAUGAGAGAGACGGAGCUUGUCAUUAUGUAAUCUUCUGAAACCAGAAUAAUGGUUACAUGUUUGCUUAUGAAUGUUUGCAUGUUGGAGGUAACAUAUGCUGUUCGAUGCCCUAGAAUCUUACUGUAGAGCAAGAUUCUGGCAUUUAGUCUAGAUAUUUAAUUAUAAAAACAAAACUGCUUUGGGUUAAAAGGUUCUGUAGUUUAAUAAAUCAC